ACACUAGCUGUCUGUGUCAAGGCCACGCAGAAAUCUAUUGGAAAUCGCUGUGGAAACAAACGCAAAUGAAAAGCCGCAAAGAGCAAAGGAAUUGGCUCAUGUGAUUAAGGCAGAGAGGCCCUGCAAUCUGCCAUCUGCAAGCUGGAAAACCAGGACAGCUGGUCGUAUAAGCCCUAGUCUGAGUCCAGAGUCCCAAGAACCAGGAGUGCUGAUAUUCAAGAACAGAGACCAUGAAUGUCCCAGCUUAAGCAGAGAGAAAAUUCACUCUCCUCCGCAUGUUUUUCUAUUCAGACCCUCAACAAAUUGGAUGAUACUCACCUACAUUGUGAAGGCAAUCUUCGUUACUUAGUGUACUGAUUCCAAUGCUAAUCUUUUCUGAAGCCACCUUCACAGACCCACAGAAAUAAUGUUACCAGCUAUCUGGGCAUCUCUUAGCCCAGUCAAGUUGACACAUGAAAUUAAUCAUCAGGCUGGGCGUGGUGGCUCACACCUGUAAUCCCAGUGCUUUGGGAGGCCAGGGUGGACAGAUUGCUUGAGUUCAGCCUGGGCAACAUGGCAAAACCCCAUCUCUACCAAAAAUACAAAAAAGUUAGCCAGGUGUGGUGGUGCAUACCUGUGGUCUCAGCUACUCAGGAGGCUGAGGUGGGAGGAUUACUUGAGCCUGGGAGGCAGAGGUUGCAGUAAGCUGAGAUGGCACCACUGCACUCCAACCUGAGUGACAGAGUGAGACCCCAUCUGAAAAAAAAAAAAAAGAAAUUAAUCAUCAUGGGGUGGGGGUAGAAGGUAGAAUUAUCUGAACACUUUUUAGUUUAAUGCCUGGACUGGGCUGCUUCAAAGGCUGGGCUCUCAUAUGGAACUGUCAACCAGAGCAACUACAUAUAGCCUUUCUAUAAGGCUUAGAAUUCUCACAAAUGGCAAUUUGGUUCUGGGAGGUAGGUUCUCAAGAGAAAGCAUCUAGGAAAAAAGCAUUGUAAGAGAAACAACAGAAGAUGCAUGGCCUUGGAAGUCACAUAGCAUCACUUCAAUCAUACUCUAUUGGUUAAGGGUGUCAGAAACCUAAAAAGAUUCAAAGGCAGUAGACAUAUAUCCUCAUUCUUUUUUUUUUUUUUUUUUUUUUUGAGACAGAGUCUUGCUCUGUUGCCCAGGCUGGUGUGCAGUGGUGCAAUCUCGGCUCACUGCAAGCUCUGCCUCCUGGGUUCAUACCAUUCUCCUGACUAAGCCUCCUGAGUAGCUGGGACUACAGGUGCACACCACCAUGCCUGGCUUUUCUUUUUUUUUUUUUUUUUUUUUUUUUUUUAGUACAGACGGGGUUUCACCAUGUUAGCCAGGAUGGUCUCGAUCUCCUGAUCUCGUGAUCCACCUGCCUCGGCCUCCCAAAGUGCUGGGAUUACAGGCGUGAGCCACUGUGCCCAGCCUAUAUAUCCUCAUUCUUGAUGGAAAGAUUAUCAGUGAUUUUAGGAUUAUAUGUUAAAACCACCAUAGUUUCUUUCCCGCUCUUUAAUAUUUAAACCUUUUUGUUCUUAACAUGCUUCUGACCUGUCUCCCAGUCCAGCAAUGUCUAAUGUGCUGUUAAACCCAUCCCUCGAGUUUGUAAUUUCAGUUAUUACAUUUUUCUAUUCUAAACUUUCAAUUUGUUUUUCUGUUUAUGUUUCCCAUUCUAGGCUGAAAUUUUCAGUCUUGACUUUUUUCUUUGAAUGCUUAAACACACUUAGCAUAAUUAUUUCAAUGUUUCAUUAUCUGGGUUUUCUUAGGAUCUGUUUGUACGGUCUGAUGUUUCUCUUGGUUUUAUGAAAAAUUGAUUUUAGGUCCUAGAUAUCUACUCAUUUUCUAAGACCACUUUGUUUUAAUUCAAGAUGCUUUGUAUAAUAAAUGAUAUAAUAUCUAGUAAGACUGACCCCUCCCAAUGUUGUUCUACUUUUUCAGGGUUUUCUUGACAAUUCUUACUGAUUAUUACAUACAAAUUUUUAGCAUCAACUUGUUUAACUCCAAACAAAAGUUGACAUUUUUAUGUGUCAAGUUUGUGUAUUAGCUUAGGGAUACUUGACAUCUUUAUGAUCCUGAGUCAUCUUAUCUAAGAACAUGGAAUAUCUGUUUGCUGUGUCCUUAAAGUUUUAUCCCUAAAAGCUCUGUACAUUUCUUAUUAAGUUUAUCUCUAGGUAUUUUAUCUGUUUUGCUGUUAACAUAAGUGGUAUACUCUUACCCACUACUCCAUUUAAUUGUUUUCUUUUAAAUUGAAGGCUAUGGAUUUUUGUUUAUUCAUGUAUGCCCUGCUACCUUACUGAAUUAUCUUAUGAUUGGUAUUAACUUUUUAUUGAUUUUAUUUUUUUCAGAUAUUACCUCCUCCUUUCUAAUUCUUAUGCCUAUUAUUCAAUCCCAUUGGCUUAUAUCUCAAAUGCAAUACUAAAUAUAAAUAGUAGAUAGAUUAAUGGCAUUUUUGUCUAAUUCCUGAAUGCAGGAAAACAUCCAUGUUUCUCCACUAUGUCAUAUGUUAAGAAAAUAGCCACUGAUUACUAUUUAUUUAUUUUUUUUACCAUGUCAGGAAGGGAUAUUAAUUUAUGAAUUGCCUUCUUACUAUCUAUUAAGAUGAGAGUUUAAAUUUUCUCUUUAGAUCAACUAAUGUAGUGAAUCAUAUUGGAGGAGGGUGAUGGGGCGCCUUUUCUAAUUUGCGUAAGACAUCAUGGUUUUCAUGUCUCACUGGCUGUUCUUCUGCCUGGAAUGCUGUUCCCCACGUAUCUGCAUGGCUUGCUCCCAUUUCCUUUAUGCCUUUGCUCAAGGUCACUUUUGAAAUGAGGCCCAUCCUAAUCAUCUCAUUUAAAUUGCACUUUUUGCUGUCCUCCAUUGGCAUUUUUAGUUCCUCCCACCAGGUUCUUUUUUUCCUCACACUUAUCACUUUCUAACAUACUAUAUAUUUAUUUAUUGUGCUUAUUGUGUGUCGUCUGUCUCCACUACAAGUGUACUCUGUCUCCACUACAAGUAUACUCCAUGAGGCUAGGAAGUUUGGUCCUUUUUUUCUUUUUUCCUUUUUUUGACUUACAUGUUUCCAAUACCUAGAGCAGUGCUUGGCAAACAGUAAGCAUUCAAAAAUAUUUUUUAAAUGAAUGAAUAAGUAGAGAUUAGCGCCUACCAAGGAAUUAUUCAAGAAGAAUAUCAAAUAAUAAAAUUUAGUAUUCUAGCGAAGGUUAGACUUAACAGCUAUGGAGAUAAAGUAAAGAGAUUAAAAGCAUUUUCAUUGUAGAACUUUUACACGUUUUUCCAUUAUUGGGCCUCAUAGCCUAUAUUGCACCAUGAAUCAAUGCCUUUUAUUAAUCUCGUGAUUAUUUGUGAAUGGCCCAAUUAUAGUCAUAUGUUGCUUAAUGACAGAUACAUUCUGAGAAAUAUGUUAGGUGAUUUCGUCUUUGUGUGAACAUCAUAGAGUGUACUUACACAAACCUAGAUGGUAGAGUCUACUGCACACCUAGGCUUUAUAGUAUAGCCUUCUGCUUCUAGUCUACAAACCUGUACAGUAUGUUACUGCAGUGAAUAGUGUAGGCAAUUGUAACACAAUGGUAAGUAUUUGUGUAUCUAAACAUAUCUAAACAUAGAAAAGGUAGAAGAAAAAUAUGAUAUAAAAGAUAAUGGUACACCUGUAUAGGGCACUGACUAUAAAGGGAGCUUGCAGGACUGGAAGUUGCUCUGGGUGAGUCAGUGAGUGAGUGGUGAGUGAAUGGGAAGGCCUAGGACAUUACUAUACACUAUGGUAGACUUUAUAAACACUAUACACUUUGUAUACACUAUAUAUAUAUUUAUAUAUAAAAAGAUAAAUAUAUAUACUCUAUA
rnacentral:lncRNA from 1 species